CGUCGAAUUCCGACGUACGGUCCUAAAGUUACGCCAAGAACGGAUAAUUACGACUUAAAGCAUUUGAUCGCGCGUACACAUGCAGGUGCCGAUCAUACCAGCACUAAUGCACCGGAUCCCAUCAGAACUCCGCAGUUAAGCGUGCUUGGGCGAGAGUAGUACUAGGAUGGGUGACCUCCUGGGAAGUCCUCGUGUUGCACCUCU